rnacentral:rRNA from 1 species
AGUGAACGCUGGCGGUAGGCCUAACACAUGCGAGUCGAACGGCAGCACAGUAAGAGCUUGCUCUUACGGGUGGCGAGUGGCGGACGGGUGAGGAAUACAUCGGAAUCUACUUUUUCGUGGGGGAUAACGUAGGGAAACUUACGCUAAUACCGCAUACGACCUACGGGUGAAAGCAGGGGAUCUUCGGACCUUGCGCGAUUGAAUGAGCCGAUGUCGGAUUAGCUAGUUGGCGGGGUAAAGGCCCACCAAGGCGACGAUCCGUAGCUGGUCUGAGAGGAUGAUCAGCCACACUGGAACUGAGACACGGUCCAGACGCCUACGGGAGGCAGCAGUGGGGAAUAUUGGACAAUGGGCGCAAGCCUGAUCCAGCCAUACCGCGUGGGUGAAGAAGGCCUUCGGGUUGUAAAGCCCUUUUGUUGGGAAAGAAAAGCAGCAGGUUAAUACCCCGCUGUUCUGACGGUACCCAAAGAAUAAGCACCGGCUAACUUCGUG